AGGGCUGGUUGAGGCCAAGGGUGAAGGAUGGAAGCCAUCAUUUAUCAAGUACCUGCUGCACUUCAGGGCAGUGCUUGGGGCUAUACCAUACUUCCUUUGAUUUAUUUCUCAACACAGUCCUGGGAGAUGACUGUCUCCAUUUGACUGGUGAGAAAACUGAGCACAAACAACACCCAUUGCCAGACAUUGAAUCAAAAAAACUGUAGGCAAUCAUCCAGUCCAGCCCCUUUCUCAAAAAGAGGCAGAAACUAGAUGAGCAAAAGGGGGAGACAGUUGUCCAAGGUCACGCAACUCAAGGUCACAGAAGGCCUUCGGAAUACAUCCCCAGACAUAUACAUUUAUAAAACCAACUAUUCCACAGCGAAUCCAGUGGAUUCAUGGGCUGCUACAGAAAGUGUAGCCUGAAAUUUCCCCCAGAAAAAACAAAGGGCAGUUAGGGGCAUGCUAAAAGAAAACGAGAGUGACCAUUCUGAAGGUGGGCUUGUUAAAGCCCAAAAUUGAGUGAGAAAAUGAUGAGAGAAUAUGAACAGGGCAAAGGAGGCAGCUGGGACUAAAGAGCACUGUCUCCCUGACAACCGAUAUUUCUUUGCUUCUUUAUCCAUAUGCUGGGAGAGAGACAAAGUGAUUGAGUGAAAUAAAGGCAGGGAAGUGGGAAAUGGGUGACUGGUGGAGCAGGUCAGGCAAUUUAAUGGCUUCUUCUUUCUCAAUCUCCAGGGAGAAAAAUCCAAGUUGCAAAAAGAUGAGAGAGUGUGGAAAGAGAUGGCUCCUGGAGCUCUUUGAAAAUUUUCAGAGAAGGGUCUUCCUUAAAGUCCAUGAGUGAGGGGACUUGGGAGGUCAGAGGGCUGGAAGCUGAUACCUUCCCUGUAAGCUAGAGAUGAAGGUCCUUCUUUUUCUACUGUUUGCUGAUGCUGAAUGCUGGCUCCCUAAGAUAUUACUAAAGCAACCUGUUGAUAAGAAAAAACUAAGGUUUUUCUUACUGCAGUAUGGGAAAGUGCUAUUUCAAUUGAGUCUUAGCAGUGUCCAGGAGGGAGUCUGACAAAGUCAAGAUACUUACUGGGGUUUUGAAGAAUAGUUUAAAAUGAGUCUUCCAACAAGGGGGAUGGAGAGGCAGUGCUUGGUUAGGACUGGGUAAGGUCCAUGACAAUACUUUGGUAUUAAUGGGCAUAGCAAGGUAAGAAUUUUAAGACAAAGGGUUAAAGAAUAUUGGUGUGUAUACUGUCAUUUGAUGUUUUCUAUUAAAGAGUUGAUAUACCAGGAAGUCUGAAUAAACAAUAAAAUUUGCAACUUU